rnacentral:rRNA from 1 species
CUACGGGGGGCUCCAGUGGGGAAUAUUGCACAAUGGGGGAAACCCUGAUGCAGCAACGCCGCGUGGAGGAUGACACAUUUCGGUGCGUAAACUCCUUUUAUAGGUCAAGAUAAUGACGGUAGCCUAUGAAUAAGCGCCCGCUAACUCCGUGCCAGCAGCCGCGGUAAUACGGAGGGCGCAAGCGUUACUCGGAAUCACUGGGCGUAAAGAGCAUGUAGGCGGGUUAAUAAGUCAGAAGUGAAAUCCAAUAGCUCAACUAUUGAACUGCUUUUGAAACUGUUAACCUAGAGUGUGGGAGAGGUAGAUGGAAUUUCUGGUGUAGGGGUAAAAUCCGUAGAGAUCAGAAGGAAUACCGAUUGCGAAGGCGAUCUACUGGAACAUUACUGACGCUGAGAUGCGAAAGCGUGGGGAGCAAACAGGAUUAGAUACCCUCGUAGUC